rnacentral:sRNA from 1 species
CCCAGAGGCCCUUAUGGGCAUUUCCUCCCUGACUUAGGCCACCCUCCUCCGGGGUGGCUUCUUUUUUUCGGCUCC